rnacentral:miRNA from 1 species
CGGGUAGAGAGGGCAGUGGGAG